GAAUAUUGGGCAAUGGACGGAAGUCUGACCCAGCCAUGCCGCGUGAAGGAUGAAGGCGUUCUGCGUUGUAAACUUCUUUUACCAGGGAAGAAAUGAUAUUUUUCUACAUAUUUUGACGGUACCUGGGGAAUAAGCACCGGCUGACUCAGUGCCAGCAGCCGCGGUAAUACGGAGGGUGCAAGCGUUAUCCGGAUUUACUGGGUUUAAAGGGUACGUAGGCGGACUAUUAAGUCAGGGGUGAAAUCUCCGAGCUCAACUCGGAAACUGCCUUUGAAACUAGUGGUCUUGAAUUAUGUUGAGGUUGGCGGAAUAUAACAUGUAGCGGUGAAAUGCAUAGAUAUGUUAUAGAACACCGAUUGCGAAGGCAGCUGACUAAACAUAUAUUGACGCUGAUGUACGAAAGCGUGGGGAUCAAAC
rnacentral:rRNA from 1 species